rnacentral:rRNA from 1 species
UACGUAGGGGGCAAGCGUUGUCCGGAAUCAUUGGGCGUAAAGCGCGUGUAGGCGGCUGAGUAAGUCUGCUGUGAAAGCCCCGGGCUCAACCUGGGAAUGGCAGUGGAUACUGGCAAGCUAGAGUGCGGUAGAGGGGUGUGGAAUUCCCGGUGUAGCGGUGAAAUGCGUAGAGAUCGGGAGGAACACCAGUGGCGAAGGCGGCACCCUGGACCAGCACUGACACUGAGGCACGAAAGCGUGGGGAGCAAACAGG